CAAGUAACCUAGCCACGCAGUCGUUACGAUUCAUAAUAUUUCGGAGUCGACACAGCUUUUGGUUUAUUCAUCCAUCAAACUGUAUUGAAUUCCGAACGGUAGGAAUAGUAAUGGUAAAUCGGCGCCCUAAAUAGCGCUACAUUUUACCAGAGCCAUAGAGAUGGCUCUGCAUUUUACCAUGCACUUUUCCGUCUGCUUAACAUGGAUGUAAUGUUACAUUUAGGAUACCCUAAGCAUAUUCCUCUCAAAUCAUGGCUAUUAUGAGGAGGAUCAUAGCAUGUAAACGUAGGUGAAUUAUGUUCUGCACAUUGUCAUUGUUGCCACUCUGUUAUACUAAGAGAGGAAUCUUUAAGUCAUAGAAGAAAAUUAAGUAUUGAACAAGGUGUACCCUUCCCUUCCCCUUGUCUCAGUCUGACAUGUACUGUACAUCCUGUUGUUGAAUCUGGCCAGUGGUAUAUUUGUGCAGCCUGUAUUUGUGCGUUUGGAAGUACUCUCGACUAUUGAAAACUAAAUGCUGAGUGUGCAUUGAUCAUGUAACUGUGCAAUCUAAUGUGAAAAUUCAAAUAAUUUCUUUGCUCUGUUGCAGCUUUAAAUGGAGCUCCCAAAAUUCAUUGUUCACAUAUUCCUGGAGGACAAGGAAAUAAGAAGAAAAGUAUUUCAACUGAGAUCUGUAGGAGAGCUAGUAGAUGCUUGCAAGUCAGGAACAGCAACACAAUUUUGAAAUUCAAUUCUGACUUCAAUGAAUUCAUAGACACAGACAGCAGUGACAAUAUGGAACACAUGGACAAGUUCCAAGUAUAUUUCAAGUCAUGUGGCUCGUCAGUGUUGGAUCCCAUCGACGUUGAGAAACUGAAAUCCAUACUUGAGAGGAAAGGUGCAAGUGUUCUGGCAGACUAUGAAGCUUCUGGAAUGCUCUCAGAGACUUCAAGAAAGCUCCUUGUGAAAAUUUGUGUCAGUGAUUUGAUUGAGAGAAAGGGAUUUUAUACACCAACUGAUGACAAAUCCAGAUUGGCUAGGUGUAUGGUUACACUUUUCCCGUCACUGAAAGUCAUAAUGGAAGAUGAGA